GUGGUUCAAUUCGAAGCAACGCGCAGAACCUUACUUGGUUUUGAACUGCUCCUGCCAGACUUGGAGACAGGUCUUUCUCGCAAGAGACGGGAGAUAGAGGUGCUGCAUGGCUGUCGUCAGCUCGUGUCGUGAGAUGUUGGGUUAAGUCCCGCAACGAGCGCAACCCUUAUCCUUAUUUGCCAGUAUUAAGUUAGGUACUUUAAGGAGACUGCCGGUGUUAAACCGGAGGAAGGUGGGGAUGACGUCAAGUCCUCAUGGCCUUUAUGCCCAGGGCUACACACGUGCUACAAUGGUAGGUACAAAGAGUUGCCAACCCGCAAGGGGGAGCUAAUCUCAGAAAACCUAUCUCAGUUCGGAUUGGAGUCUGCAAUUCGACUCCAUGAAGUUGGAAUCGCUAGUAAUCGCGGAUCAGAAUGCCGCGGUGAAUACGUUCCCGGGCCUUGUACACACCGCCCGUCACACCACGAAAGCAGACUGAACCAGAAGAUCCUGGUCUAACCGCAAGGAGGAAGGGAUCCAAGGUACGGUUUGUGAUUGGGGUGAAGUCGUAACAAGGUAACCAAGGGCGAA
rnacentral:rRNA from 1 species